UAAAUUAUAAAAAAUAUUCAAAAGGCAACAGUAAAAGUACUUUGACAAAUAUGUCCAAAUGAAGGAUACUAUUGUAAUCAUAAAGCAAUUACCUUUCAAAUAAAAAAAAACUUUAACAAAAUAUCUAGAACUGUUACAGAAAUACAGCAUUUAAAAAAAAUUUCCAAAAUUCUCAUCUUCAAAAUGGUGUUCGCAGUGUCAUCUUUGGAGACCUGUAUCUCGGGGCCGGAGUUUCUUGGAGAAAACAAAAGAGUACUUAUUUUUUACUUACCCCUGAAUUUUAACAUAUGCUAAAUUCAAUAAUAUCUGAGACUAUGAAGGUAAUCCUCCUUCCUGAAGUAAUAUGGAUUGUGCCAGUAUAUAAAAUUUAUUUGGAAAAAAUGGGCCUCAAUUACUUUGCCUGUGUAUAAGGUAAGUUAAGUCUGCCACAGGAAUGUGAUGCCUGUGGUAAGGGAUUGGGAUUGGGAGUCAGAAUGGCAUAGCGAUUGACUAGGAUGUUUUGUAGGUUGGGUGGGUGACAGAACACCUCUUUAGGAGGGAUAGAAAGGAUCUUGGACAGAAUGUCCCCCAUUUCAGACUAGGAUGAGAGAUAAUCAUUGCCUUGGCAAAGGAUAUGGUUCAUUUGCUCCAGUCCGGGGUGAUAAUGGUUGGUGACGGUGGCACUCCAUUGAAGCUGAUUCUUAGGGCUGAUGAUAUGGCACAGCAAACCUCUUUGGGAUCAGGUGAGGGGUGUUGCCUCUCUGUGAAGACCUUACUGAGGCCUUCAGCAGUUUUCGUCACUGCAGAUACAUUGUCCAUGGGUGGCUAGGCCAUAUGAGUGGUAUUUUUCAGUGUGGAAGGGAUGGCAGCUAUUGAAAUGCAGGUACUGUUGGUAAGUCGGUUUAAUGUGGACGGAGGUAUGGAUGGAGCUGUCAGAGAGGUGGAGACCCACAUCCAGCAAGAUGGUGCAUUAGAUAGAGGAGGACCAGGUGGAGCGGAUGGUGAAAAAGGUGUUGAGGCUGUUGAAGGAAUGAGGAUUGGGUGUCUUGGCCCUGAGUCCAGAUCAUGAGAAUAUCGUCAAUGAAUCUGAACCAGACUAGGAGUUGGGAGUUUUGAGAGGCUAGAAAGGUUUUUUCUAGAUUUCCCAUAAAUAAUUUGGCAUAGGAGGGUGCCAUGUAGGUGACCAUGGCUGUACUGCAGAUUUGUAAGCCUUCCCUCUGAAGGAAAACUAGUUGUGGGUUAGGAUAUAUGUAGUUGGUAAGGUAUAUAAGGAAUGAGACGGUGUUUCCGGUGUCUGAAGGACAUUGGGAGAGGUAGCAUUUGAUAGCGACAAGGCCGCGGGCAUGAGGGAUUUUGAUGCAUAGGUAGGUGACAUCAACAGUGAUGAGUAGGGAUCCAGGAGGGUAAUGGAGUGGGGUGGUGGGAAGUUGGUGAGAGAAGUGGUUGCAGUCACCACGAGGUGGGACUACUGCUGUAAUCAAUCCCAUCAAUGCUCAGUUCCAGUCAGAGCACUCUGCGUGAAAGUGGGAGUGUUCGGCAGUUUGUUGACUGUUACCCUUUUUCACCUUCCGUCGGCGUGGAGCUCUCUCUGAUUAAGGAACAGCGCAUCAACAUCAAGUUUCUUGCAAAGCCAGGCAAGAAUGGCCAUGAGAUUUGUGAGUGUUUGAAACAGGUUUACGGAGAUAAUUCUCUGAAGGAACCAACCGUGAACAAGUGGUUAAAACAGUUCCGGGAUGGCCGGGAAGAAGUGAACGAUGACCCUCGCCCAGGAUGCCCGUCGACAUCGCGUUCCGAUGCAAAUGUUGAACGAAUUCGGGCUUGUGUUCUUAGAGACCGUAGAUUGACAGUCAGAAUGAUUGCUGACGAGCUGUCAAUCCGCAAAACAAUCGUUCAUGAAAUCCUGACACAAAAACCUGAAAUAAAGAAAUUGUGUGCGAAAAUCGUACCGAAGCUCUUGACGCCAGAACAGAAAGCAAAGAGGGUCGAGUGCUGUGAGGAUUGGUUGGAAGCAGAGGAACGAGGGAACUUUCUCAACCGAGUCAUCACCGGAGACGAGUCCUAGUUUUACGAAUUCGAUGUGGAGCUCAAAUCUCAAAGCAAGGAAUGGAAACUAGCAGGAGAACCGAGAACGAAAAAGUUGCGAAAAUCAAGGUCCAAUGUGAAGACAAUAUUGAUUGUUUUCUUUGAUUCUAGGGGCAUUGUUCACAAGGAGUUUGCCCCUCCCGGCCAGAGAGUGAACGGAAAUUUUUACGUUGAAGUUCUGACACGUCUCAGAGCUCGUGUGGCCCAAGUUCAACUGGAGUUGGCAAAAGGGGGCAGGUGGAUCCUUCAUCAUGACAAUGUGCCCGCUCACAUGUCACUCGUUGUGUGAGAGUUUUUGGCCCGAAGCUCAAUCACCGUGACAAACCAUCCGCCUUAUUCGCCCGAUUUAGCCCCGUGUGACUUCUUCAUGUUCCCGAAAUGCAAAAUGGUGCUUUGGGGGUGGCACUUGGGAGAUGUGGAAGCCAUCAAGGCGGAAACGACACUGCAACUGAACAACAUCACAACUGAAGACUUUCAGCAAUGUUAUCAACAGUGGAAACGGCGUUGGCAGAAGUGUAUCGCGUCUCAGAGCGAGUUCUUUGGAGACCAUGUUGUAAUACCUGAAUAAUUGUAAAAUAAAGUUAUUAUUCAACUUU